CUGGACUGUAACUGACGCUGAGGCACGAAAGCGUGGGGAGCAAACAGGAUUAGAUACCCUGGUAGUCCACGCUGUAAACGAUGAGUACUAGGUGUCGGGGGUUACCCCCUUCGGUGCCGCAGCUAACGCAUUAAGUACUCCGCCUGGGAAGUACGCUCGCAAGAGGGAAACUCAAAGGAAUUGACGGGGACCCGCACAAGUAGCGGAGCAUGUGGUUUAAUUCGAAGCAACGCGAAGAACCUUACCUAAGCUUGACAUCCCAAUGACAUCUCCUUAAUCGGAGAGUUCCCUUC
rnacentral:rRNA from 1 species